AUAUAAGGGCGCGCAGUUAACGCGCUCUACACAGUAGAAAAGUGUGCGUUGAAAAGAACAGACGUAAGCAGUUCGCCAAGAGAAAAGUAUCAACUACGGAGUGAAGUCGCAAACAUGUGCAAGGCUGUUGUAGAUUGUAAAGAAAGAAUGAACGAUUGGAAGAGUGUGAGGAGACGCUGAGCAAACGGCCUUCGAAUCGAGAGUGGUGUGAGUCAUGGGCGCUGCCAUCAGAGAUCCAUGCGAAAAGCCACCAGGCAUUGGUUCCGGAGCACACUCGUUUCCUGCUCCUCGCACGUUAAUGGCAACGAUGAUGAGGAACGGAACACAAACAAGAAACUACGUCGCAGUGGGCCACUGAAUGAAUCCGUGUACCGGUAGCAACAAUAGUUCGACUAUGGCUGGUACUGGUAAAGAAGAAUCCCGAACCCGAUCGUCGCAGUGACGAUGGCGUUGCGUUGUAGAGUUACUGAGUGAGUCUCAACGUCUGUCCGAGUCACCCCCACCUCCACCGCCAGGCACUGAGUUCCGCAAACCAGCCGAUGGCCGAUUCUGCAGAGAUCGCCGGAGCAGGGAGCAGCAGCAGCAAACACCACCGAGUCUCCUCUGCAUGCCAAUGCACAUGCAAUUCAGUCGCAGCGGACAGAACAUUGGGGACAAGGCGGAAUGCGCGCGGCAGCAGCUCCAGCUCGCAUCAGCUUACCUGCGUUUGAAGCUCUCGUGCUGUUGCCAACCACCGACAAUCACCACCUAUUCUGCAUUGAACGCUUCGCAGCUGCUGAUCACCACCCACCACCCAUCCGCACAGAUACACGGUAUUUGGUAUAUCAGCUGCGAACAAAAUAUUGCUUUUUAAACAAAUUUCCAGAGAAAAGAACAGCGGAUUAUUUAUAUAGCAUCGAAACGACAUUGAGGAACUCCUGUCAUCACUGAGCGUGUAUAUCGUGUGGAAUUGUUCUUGUGAUAAGCAAUUAAAUGGCAGGCGUC
rnacentral:sRNA from 1 species